UCCCUGAUGGUCCAGGGGCUAAGACUCAGCACUUGCAAUGCAGGGGCCCAGGUUCGAUCCCUGUUCACAGAA
rnacentral:tRNA from 1 species